AAGGAUGAGAAGCUUCGACUAAGGUUCGAUUCGAGCGAAAGCGAGAAAGCGUUGCCGCAGGCAACGACCCGAAGGGCGAAACGCGCAGCGCUGAGUCAUCCUUCCCCCACCACCA
rnacentral:sRNA from 4 species